GGGCAUUUGGCUCAGAGGUAGAGCGCUGCACUCACAUUGCAGAGGUCGCUGGUUCGAAUCCAGCAAUGACCACCA
rnacentral:tRNA from 1 species